AAUUGGAGGGCAAGUCUGGUGCCAGCAGCCGCGGUAAUUCCAGCUCCAAUAGCGUAUAUUAAAGUUGUUGCAGUUAAAAAGCUCGUAGUUGAAUUUCGGGAUCAAUAUUUCGGUCAUGCCGUUGGUAUGCACUGUUAUCAUUGAUUUCUCACCUUCUAAAGAACCGUAAUGCCAUUAAUUUGGUGUUACGGGGAAUUAGGACUGUUACCUUGAAAAAAUUAAAGUGUUUAAAGCAGGCUCACGCUUGAAUACAUUAGCAUGGAAUAAUGAAAUAGGACAUCCGAUUCUAUUUUGUUGGUUUCUAGGAUCGAUGUAAUGAUUAAUAGGGAUAGUUGGGGGCAUUAGUAUUCAAUUGUCAGAGGUGAAAUUCUUGGAUUUAUUGAAGACUAACUACUGCGAAAGCAUUUGCCAAGGAUGUUUUCAUUAAUCAAGAACGAAAGUUAGGGGAUCGAAGACGAUCAGAUACCGUCGUAGUCUUAACCAUAAACUAUGCCGACUAGGGAUCGGAUGAUGUUAAUUUUUUAAUGACUCAUUCGGCGCCUUACGGGAAACCAAAGUGU
rnacentral:rRNA from 1 species